ACGCUGGCGGCGUGCCUAAUACAUGCAAGUCGAACGAGUUCUCGUUGAUGAUCGGUGCUUGCACCGAGAUUCAACAUGGAACGAGUGGCGGACGGGUGAGUAACACGUGGGUAACCUGCCCUUAAGUGGGGGAUAACAUUUGGAAACAGAUGCUAAUACCGCAUAGAUCCAAGAACCGCAUGGUUCUUGGCUGAAAGAUGGCGUAAGCUAUCGCUUUUGGAUGGACCCGCGGCGUAUUAGCUAGUUGGUGAGGUAAUGGCUCACCAAGGCGAUGAUACGUAGCCGAACUGAGAGGUUGAUCGGCCACAUUGGGACUGAGACACGGCCCAAACUCCUACGGGAGGCAGCAGUAGGGAAUCUUCCACAAUGGACGCAAGUCUGAUGGAGCAACGCCGCGUGAGUGAAGAAGGCUUUCGGGUCGUAAAACUCUGUUGUUGGAGAAGAAUGGUCGGCAGAGUAACUGUUGUCGGCGUGACGGUAUCCAACCAGAAAGCCACGGCUAACUACGUGCCAGCAGCCGCGGUAAUACGUAGGUGGCAAGCGUUAUCCGGAUUUAUUGGGCGUAAAGCGAGCGCAGGCGGUUUUUUAAGUCUGAUGUGAAAGCCCUCGGCUUAACCGAGGAAGCGCAUCGGAAACUGGGAAACUUGAGUGCAGAAGAGGACAGUGGAACUCCAUGUGUAGCGGUGAAAUGCGUAGAUAUAUGGAAGAACACCAGUGGCGAAGGCGGCUGUCUGGUCUGUAACUGACGCUGAGGCUCGAAAGCAUGGGUAGCGAACAGGAUUAGAUACCCUGGUAGUCCAUGCCGUAAACGAUGAAUGCUAGGUGUUGGAGGGUUUCCGCCCUUCAGUGCCGCAGCUAACGCAUUAAGCAUUCCGCCUGGGGAGUACGACCGCAAGGUUGAAACUCAAAGGAAUUGACGGGGGCCCGCACAAGCGGUGGAGCAUGUGGUUUAAUUCGAAGCAACGCGAAGAACCUUACCAGGUCUUGACAUCUUUUGAUCACCUGAGAGAUCAGGUUUCCCCUUCGGGGGCAAAAUGACAGGUGGUGCAUGGUUGUCGUCAGCUCGUGUCGUGAGAUGUUGGGUUAAGUCCCGCAACGAGCGCAACCCUUAUGACUAGUUGCCAGCAUUUAGUUGGGCACUCUAGUAAGACUGCCGGUGACAAACCGGAGGAAGGUGGGGAUGACGUCAAAUCAUCAUGCCCCUUAUGACCUGGGCUACACACGUGCUACAAUGGAUGGUACAACGAGUUGCGAGACCGCGAGGUCAAGCUAAUCUCUUAAAGCCAUUCUCAGUUCGGACUGUAGGCUGCAACUCGCCUACACGAAGUCGGAAUCGCUAGUAAUCGCGGAUCAGCACGCCGCGGUGAAUACGUUCCCGGGCCUUGUACACACCGCCCGUCACACCAUGAGAGUUUGUAACACCCGAAGCCGGUGGCGUAACCCUUUUAGGGAGCGAGCCGUCUAAGG
rnacentral:rRNA from 2 species